CCUACGGGUGGCUGCAGUGGGGAAUAUUGGACAAUGGGGGCAACCCUGAUCCAGCCAUGCCGCGUGUGUGAAGAAGGCCCUCGGGUUGUAAAGCACUUUCAGUGAGGAAGAACGCCUGGUGGUUAAUACCCAUCAGGAAAGACAUCACUCACAGAAGAAGCACCGGCUAACUCCGUGCCAGCAGCCGCGGUAAUACGGAGGGUGCGAGCGUUAAUCGGAAUUACUGGGCGUAAAGCGCGCGUAGGUGGCUUGAUAAGCCGGUUGUGAAAGCCCCGGGCUCAACCUGGGAACGGCAUCCGGAACUGUCAAGCUAGAGUGCAGGAGAGGAAGGUAGAAUUCCCGGUGUAGCGGUGAAAUGCGUAGAGAUCGGGAGGAAUACCAGUGGCGAAGGCGGCCUUCUGGACUGACACUGACACUGAGGUGCGAAAUCGUGGGUAGCAAACAGGAUUAGAUACCCGGGUAGUC
rnacentral:rRNA from 1 species